rnacentral:rRNA from 1 species
AGGUCUCAGUUCAGAUUGCAGGCUGCAACCCGCCUGCAUGAAGUCGGAAUUGCUAGUAAUCGCGGAUCAGCAUGCCGCGGUGAAUACGUUCCCGGGCCUUGUACACACCGCCCGUCACACCAUGGGAGCCGGUAAUACUCGAAGUCAGUAGUCCAACCUCGUGAGGACGCUGCCGAAGGUAGGAUUGGCGACUGGGGUGAAGUCGUAACAAGGUACC